GACGAACGCUGGCGGCGUGCCUAAUACAUGCAAGUUGAGCGAUGAAGAUUGGUGCUUGCCCCAAUUUGAAGAGCAGCGAACGGGUGAGUAACGCGUGGGGAAUCUGCCUUUGAGCGGGGGACAACAUUUGGAAACGAAUGCUAAUACCGCAUAACAACUUUAAACAUAAGUUUUAAGUUUGAAAGAUGCAAUUGCAUCACUCAAAGAUGAUCCCGCGUUGUAUUAGCUAGUUGGUGAGGUAAAGGCUCACCAAGGCGAUGAUACAUAGCCGACCUGAGAGGGUGAUCGGCCAAAUUGGGACUGAGACACGGCCCAAACUCCUACGGGAGGCAGCAGUAGGGAAUCUUCGGCAAUGGACGAAAGUCUGACCGAGCAACGCCGCGUGAGUGAAGAAGGGUUUCGGAUCGUAAAACUCUGUUGGUAGAGAAGAACGUUGGUGAGAGUGGAAAGCUCAUCAAGUGACGGUAACUACCCAGAAAGGGACGGCUAACUACGUG
rnacentral:rRNA from 1 species